rnacentral:ribozyme from 13 species
UUUCUCCUUUCUUUCUCUUUCCUUUGAUCUCUCCUCCUUCCUCCCCUUCGGCGAGAUAUGAAAAUAAAUUGAGGGAAACUACAAGAACACAAAUUAAAAGUGCCCAAGGAUUUAAUAUUGAAUCU